CGAUUCUGUAAGCGUUGUUUAACAAACUCGCACGUGAAUUUGGUGUGAGUUUUCAAAUUGGCAUUCUGUAAAUUUCAUUGUAGUGCCGAAUCUACACUAGCGCCCCUCGCGGGUGAAUUGAACUAGCAAGCGUGAGUUUUUUUUACUAAAAUGUAUGAGUUGACGUUUGAAACGGCAUUCUGUAGUGAAGUGUAGUGUAAAUCACGUCGAAUUUCGGCAAGAACUUCGCAUCGCAAAAUCAUUUUAUUUGUCAAAUCAAAAGUUAGUGUUUUAAGUGUUUCUUGUGAGUGAGAAUAUACGAAAACGUUAUAAACCGCUGUUAAUUAUUAAAAAAAUACUAUUAAUUAACAAAAUUGCACUUUAAAAUAACUUUAUUCUUCAUCGAUAUUUUAUGGAGCGUAUGUUUUUAUUGAAAACAUUGUUGAAAAGGCUGACGCUACGGAUCAGCGUGAAAUGCGUCGACAAGCCUACGAAAUUCACAAUUUAUCACUUUUAACUUGAGAUGACUAUGUAAAAGUAUAAAGAAAGUGUAUAGAUUGUCGAAGGAUCAUAUGAACCAGUUAGGGUGUGAAUUACACCCUUUGACGAAGACCACUAAAAGCCAUUGAAAAGGACUUUCAACUCUUCUAAAGUUUCAGUUAUUGUGCACCUUGUUUAUUUGGGCAAAUGAAGUUACCAAAAAAAUCAUAAAAGAAAAUAUAAGAACAUAUUUGUCCCAGAUAUCCCAGUGUAUAUCUGAGGUUGUGGAGGCUCUGAACAACCCAGCAACUAUAUAUAAAUAUUUAAGAUUCCUGCAGAAUGCUCAAGAAUGGCAAAAGUUGAAGGAAAACUGAAGAAAAAAGAAGGUGGUUUAAACUAAAUAAAUAUUUUUUUUCUUCAUAAAAAAGUACCAAUAUUAAUCUAAUGCUAAAUAUUGCAGUUUUUGUAAAAAAAUUAAAAUCACUUUGGUUGUUGGGUGUAUUGAUGGGACGUUGGUGGCCUUAAAAAGACCUCCUACCAAUAAAAAAUGGUUUUACUGUCACAAAGGCUAUCAUGCCAGAAAAUGUACAAUUUGUAAAGCCAUUAAUAUUUUUCGAAAUUCUGAUGAUAUGUAAUCCAUAAACGAAAUGUGUAUUAUGAACUAUGUAUUCAGAUUGUAUUCAUUUCAGUUAAAUUGAAUUGUGUAUAUUGCUUUAAAGUUAUUGUGAAAUUUAGUAUUUAUAUUAAAUAAACUUUAUUCAGUUAUAAAAAAAACAAAAUAAAAUCUACUAAAGAUUAGUCAAUGACAGCAAGUAAUGACCAUUAUAAUUAUUUAACAUCUUUUCGUUCUUUCUGUAUAUGCUCAACGUUCCAACCUUAUGACACCUUUUGCUAAUUUUUUUUUCAUUUCACUAUCUAAAUGGUUAGCACCACAGCCCACCUGGUGUUAAGUGGUUACUGGAGCCCAUAGACAUCCACAACGUAAAUGCGCCACCAACCUUGAGAUAUAAAUUCGAAGGUCUCAGUAUAGUUACAACGGCUGCGCCACCCUUCAAACCGAAACGCAUUACUGCUUCAGAAAUAGGCGAUAAUGCUAUGCUAGCUAAUACCUGCUAAUAAUGGCUAGCUAAUGCUAAUACGGAGAGAGAAACUCCUGAAGCUCUGUAGCACCACCUUCAUUCCACUGCCCGUAACUCAGUGAAAAGAACAAUAGUUCUGUUAAAGAGUAGAUUUAGGUGUUUGCUGAUCCAUAGGGUGCCAAUUUAUCACCCUGAUAAGGUAGCAAAAAUAGCUGUUGCGUGUUGUGUUUUGCACAACAUUUGCAAUUGUGCAGAGCUGCCAGUUCCCAUAAUCUCAGAUUAUGAGAUUACAUUUACAUCAUGGUGGUCAUGUUGAAUUACUUUGUUAAAUUCUACUAAUUAGCUUACUUAUAGUGUGAAGUAACUUCAAAUAUAAAUUAAUGAUUUAUAAAAAUAGUUUUAUUCAAUAGUUAUAUACAAUAAUUUUGAAAUUUGUUUGCAUCAGUAAUAUGUGGAAAUACAGGUUUAAAAUUCCUAGCUGCAUAUGCUAAUUCCACCAACAGUUCAUCCUUCUUGCAGACUGUCGACUAUUUAUUCCCCCAUGGUUAUUUAAGUUAUAUAUCCUGGUACUGUGUAAUUUGUUGUCAUUUGAAUACACUCUGCUUUUCAUUGAAAAGUGGUGAAAUAGGUCAGGUGUUGAGGUGCUGAAAAAAAUAAAUUUAUUUAAAAACAAGGUUAGUUAAAAUACAAUGUUUAGAAUACAUACAAGAAAAGGUUUUUAUUAACAAGUAACAGCAUUAUGCACAAAUCAAUGUCCCUAAUAUGGUUGUUCAAUGAAUAGGUACUUUGACCUGAAUAAACACUUACCUAACAACCCAAUCUCUUGACUAACAUGAGACCUACUGUGGCUGGAGCUACUAGUAGUAGCAUCACAAUAAGUAGAAGUCACUUGCAUUUAGUUAGGGGAGGAUGACUGCAAAAUAGGUGAUUCUUGAUGCAAUGCUAAAAAGCCAAUAAAUAUUAAUUUUUAAAAUGCAAGUUUUGUUUAGGUAUUUAUUUAAGAUAAUUAGGUAUAACAUACAUACCUGUAUGUUUGGGAUUGUUCCAAUACUGAUACAUUUUCCGAGUUGGCAAUAAAUUCUCCUUACAAUAUUCUGAUGAUGUGGAUUAGUAUUUUCAAUCUGUUGUAGUUCCUUAAAUAUAAUAAAAUAGGUUAUGCCUAAA